rnacentral:lncRNA from 1 species
UUCAAAUCCGAUUCGAAUCCAAUUCGAAGCCGAUUCGAAAUAAUUUUGAAAGACUGUCAAUCUUAAAUUCUUUAGGACUAUUGUAUCAAGUCUAACUUAAAUUUUAGACCUAUUUAAAUAUAAUUAAUUUAGAUCUAAUCUAAAAUUAAUUAAUACUUAAAUUCAAUCUUUUAUAUGUUCCAUAGAUUAUAGAUAAAAAUUGUUCAUCCCCG